rnacentral:tRNA from 1 species
UGCGAAGUAGAGUAGUGGUCUAACUCACCAGUCUCAUAAGCUGGACUUACCUAAAAAGGGUAGGCAUUGGUUCGAAUCCAAUUUUCGCUA